UGCUUCUGCCUGGCGCCCUGAACCCGCGGCCAGCCAUGGCGGAGCACCAGGAGCUGGUGGCGGAGAUGUCGGCGGUGAUCCGGAUGGGCACCCAGGAGCGGCUGAAGCACGCCCAGAGGCGGCGCAUCCAGCAGCUGAAGCGAUGGGCCCAUUUCGAGAAGGACGUCCAGAGCAAGAAGGGCAAGGGGGAGAAGAGGAAGAAGGGCAGCACCGGCACUGCCCAGGAAAAGCGCGUGGUCUUCCCCGAGAGUGUCCGGCUCCUGGAGGCCGCCUGUCGCAACGAUGUGGCAGAAGAAGCAUUUUGGUGCCGUCGAAAACUGGAAUUCCAGGCAAAGUUUGCCCAAAGCAGAAUAAAAUAAUCCUGUCAUUUCUUUUUAAUCUGGACAUUAUACAUUUGUUGAUUUAGCAUAAGAGUACAUUGGCCUUCUUUCUUUUUUUUUGGGAUACCGCAUCACGCUGUUGUUAAGCUUGUGGUCUACCACGAUGUAUGUUUAGCUUGGAGAAAAGAAGGCCAAGAGAAGGAGGCAGGAGAGCCAUGUUUCAACAUUGAGGAUUGAACUUGUUUUCUCUGGAGACUGGGACGCAACGGAGCAAUGGAUUCAAACUUCAGGAAGAGAGAUCCCACUUAAACAUUAGAGAGAACUCCCUUAUAUAAUACUAGCUGUGCCCGGCCACGCAUUGCUGUGGCAAAGUGGUGGUGGUAUUGGUUAAAAAUUGUUGUGUAAUUUUUAUUUGACUUUAUUUGCAUUUUUUAAUUAAUUUUAUUGUAAGUUAUAUUUUUAUUUAUUAUAUUUUAUUAUUUUCUUGUAUUAUUUUUACUUAUUUUUUGUUAUUAUAGUAUUUUAUUGUAUUAAUUUUUUAGUGUUUUUUAUUAUUUUUUAUUGGGUUGCUAGGAGACCAAGUUGGAGGAGCUUAGCCUUCUAACUGGCAGCAAUUGGAUAAAAGCAAUUAUUCCUCUCUCUCUCUAAUUAGGACUUUAUUUUUCUUUUCUUUUUGUUGUAUCAACCUAGAGGCGUGGAUGAUGGGUUGUGUUGUCAAAUUUCGAGGUUGGAGGGCCUGUAGUUUUGUUGUUUUGUGGGUCGCCAUGAUGCCAUCACUCU
rnacentral:lncRNA from 11 species